AACACGAUUAAAGUACCAUGAAAGUAAAAAUAAGAAAUAUAUAAGGUAUACAUACAUAAAGAUUAAAAUUCGGCAUUUAAAAAAAAAGAAUCAAAGAAAAUAAAUGAAAAUAAAGCACAAAGUAUAAAGGAAGCGAGACCCUACUCUCCAGACAGAGCUGAAGUUCUGCCGCCUCUGUGGUCCGACAACUUGGUGGCAGAGAGUGGUCUGUGCAGGAUCUGGUGAUGGACCAUGGCGCUGAUUGUCAGACUGUUGUGCCAAAGAUUGGGAAUCCGAGAACCACCGAGAAGCCGACACUGAUGCAAACACACGAGGGUUGAUUUACAAGCUUGAGCUUGCGUCCAAGUACACCCGACACAGCUGAGCAGGGACUUGGACCCUGAGCUCAGUCACUCAUCAGGAAAUGCAUCUUUAUGGAUUUGGAAAGAACUGAGAGACAUUAUUACCAGUGGUCCUAUUAUUAUGUGAAGGAUUCUUCCCUGAGAUUCUUCCCCUGUUUCAAGUGACACUGAAACACUGUGAACUCUUUGGAAGACAAAAGUCAAGGAAAUAAAUGUUAUGCAUUGCUAAUUUGAAAUGCACUUGCAAU